rnacentral:rRNA from 1 species
AGAGUUUGAUUAUGGCUCAGGAUGAACGCUGGCGGCGUGCUUAACACAUGCAAGUCGAACGAAGCAUUUGCGACAGAUUUCUUCGGAUUGAAGUUGCUUAUGACUGAGUGGCGCACGGGUGAGUAACACGUAUCCAACCUUCCGUUUACUCAGGGAUAGCCUUUCGAAAGAAAGAUUAAUACCUGAUAGUAUGGUGAGAUUGCAUGAUAGCACCAUUAAAGAUUUAUUGGUAAACGAUGGGGAUGCGUUCCAUUAGGUAGUAGGCGGGGUAACGGCCCACCUAGCCAACGAUGGAUAGGGGUUCUGAGAGGAAGGUCCCCCACAUUGGAACUGAGACACGGUCCAA